ensembl:ncRNA asRNA:CR43916 antisense RNA:CR43916
AGCUUUUCAUUUUUGCAAUCUGCCUUGCAGUUGUGAAUAAUUGAAUUCAGACAAGUGUUGGCGAAAUUGUACUAGACCAAAUGAUUUUGAUUAAGUGGAAUUUUCCAUGCCAAGCCCACACUAAAAACUAAAUGAUCGAGCAAAAGCUCUCUCUCAAAUCAUUAAAUGUUCAGCAGUGGUGUCCAAAAAAGGCUCAAAACUCGAUGUUAAAUGGAUAGUUCUUGCUUUUGAUGGCGUGGGUCAUGGGAAUCAGACGUUCUCCGGUGUUGUAGGAAUCCAGAAUGGCAUGAUCCUCAGCAUCCAGCUGGAAGUCGAAGAUCUGGAAGUUCUCCUCGAUGCGCUUGGGAUUUGAGGACUUUGGCAAUGGGAUGGUUCCAAUCUC